CAAAAGCUUGGUCCUGACUUUUUUAUUAAUUAAUAGCAAAAUUAUACAUGCAAAUAUCCUUACACCGGUGAGAAUGCCCUUUAAAUCUCGCAGAGACAAGAAGGAGCAGGUAUCAAGCACGCCAACGGCAGCUCACAACAUCUUGCUUCGCCACACCCCCACGGGACACAGCAGUAAUAAAAAUUAAGCAAUGAACGAAAGUUUGACUAAGUUAUGCCUUAACUCUUCAAUCUUAGGGUUGGUAAAUAUCGUGCCAGCCACCGCGGUUAUACGAUUGACCCAAAUUAAUAAAUAUACGGCGUAAAAGUGUUUUAGGAGGGACCAAAAAUAAGACUAAAAUUCAUCUAAAUCGUAAAAAAUUCUAGAUAAAUUUAAAUUCACAAACGAAAGUAAUCUUAACUUACCUGAAUACACGAAAGCUAGGACACAAACUGGGAUUAGAUACCCCACUAUGCCUAACCGUAAAUAUAAAAUUUUUUAACAAAAAUUUCUGCCAGAGAACUACUAGCAACAGCUAAAAACUCAAAGGACUUGACGGUGCUUACACCCACCUAGAGGAGCCUGUUCUGUAAUCGAUAAACCCCGAUCUACCUCACCGUUUCUUGCUAAUUCAGUCUAUAUACCGCCAUCCUUAGCAAACCCAAUUAUGGUAUAAAAGUAAGCACAAGUACUAACAUAAAAACGUUAGGUCAAGGUAUAGCUCAUGAAACGGGAAGCAAUGGGCUACAUUUUCUUUAUAAGAAAAUUACUUACGGUAAUCCUUAUGAAAUUUUGGAUUCAAGGAGGAUUUAGCAGUAAAUUAAGAAUAGAGAGCUUAAUUGAACAAGGCCAUGAAGCACGUACACACCGCCCGUCACCCUCCUCAAAUAUACGUAAACUGAAUAACCUUACCAAAUUAAAACAAAUAUUAGAGGAGAUAAGUCGUAACAAGGUAAGCGUACUGGAAAGUGUGCUUGGAAAAA
rnacentral:ncRNA from 1 species